AGAGAGAGCGAGCUAUGGAGGGCAAGGAAGAAGAUGUUAGACUUGGAGCAAACAAGUUCACAGAGAGACAACCCAUAGGUACAUCAGCUCAGACUGAUAAGGACUACAAGGAGCCACCACCAGCUCCCCUGUUUGAGCCUGGUGAGCUCUCCUCGUGGUCCUUCUACAGGGCUGGGAUUGCCGAGUUCAUCGCUACUUUCUUGUUUCUCUACAUCACUGUCUUGACUGUCAUGGGUGUCUCUAAGUCCAAUAACAAGUGCGCCACUGUGGGUAUCCAAGGUAUUGCUUGGGCCUUUGGUGGUAUGAUCUUUGCCCUUGUUUACUGCACUGCUGGUAUCUCAGGUAACUCAAUGCUUCCUUCACUUCUUUUGUCCUUGGCUUUAGCUUCUACUCCGUUUUUUUUUUCUUUUCUCUCUCAGGAUUUGCAUCUUUAUGUGAAAAUUAGCCAUCUUUUUUAUUCUACUUGUUUUCUUACAAGUUUAGUUUUAAUGCUUCUUUCUAAAACCAUACACUACUUUAUAUACUAUGGUGAGGAGCCUUACUAACCAGAUCUACAUGUUUGCUGCAACAACAGGUGGACACAUCAACCCAGCAGUGACCUUUGGUCUGUUUCUGGCUAGGAAGCUCUCCUUGACAAGGGCACUGUUCUACAUCAUCAUGCAGUGCCUUGGUGCCAUCUGUGGUGCUGGGGUGGUAAAAGGUUUUGAGGGAAAGCGUGUAUACCAGACUUUGGGUGGUGGAGCCAACG
rnacentral:lncRNA from 1 species